UACGUAGGCAGCGAGCGUUGUUCGGAGUUACUGGGCGUAAAGAGUGCGUAGGCGGUUUUCUAAGUUUGGUGUGAAAUCUCCCGGCUCAACUGGGAGGGUGCGCCGAAAACUGCAAGGCUGGAGUCCGGGAGAGGUGAGUGGAACUCCUAGUGUAGAGGUGAAAUUCGUAGAUAUUAGGAAGAACACCAGUGGCGAAGGCGGCUCACUGGCCCGGUACUGACGCUGAUAAGCGAAAGCGUGGGGGAGCAAACAGG
rnacentral:rRNA from 1 species